rnacentral:rRNA from 1 species
GAUUAAGCCAUGCAUGUCCAAGUAUAAGCAAUCUAUACGGUGAAACUGCGAAUGGCUCAUUAAAUCAGUUAUCGUUUAUUUGAUAGUACCUUACUACAUGGAUAACCGUGGUAAUUCUAGAGCUAAUACAUGCUAAAAACCCCGACUUCGGAAGGGGUGUAUUUAUUAGAUAAAAAACCAGCGCCCUUCGGGGCUCCUUGGUGAUUCAUGAUAACUCAACGAAUCGCAUGGCCUUGCGCCGGCGAUGGUUCAUUCAAAUUUCUGCCCUAUCAACUUUCGAUGGUAGGAUAGUGGCCUACCAUGGUAUCAACGGGUAACGGGGAAUUAGGGUUCUAUUCCGGAGAGGGAGCCUGAGAAACGGCUACCACAUCCAAGGAAGGCAGCAGGCGCGCAAAUUACCCAAUCCCGACACGGGGAGGUAGUGACAAUAAAUACUGAUACAGGGCUCUUUUGGGUCUUGUAAUUGGAAUGAGUACAAUUUAAAUCCCUUAACGAGGAACAAUUGGAGGGCAAGUCUGGUGCCAGCAGCCGCGGUAAUUCCAGCUCCAAUAGCGUAUAUUAAAGUUGUUGCAGUUAAAAAGCUCGUAGUUGAACCUUGGGCCUGGCUGGCCGGUCCGCCUCACCGCGUGUACUGGUCCGGCCGGGCCUUUCCUUCUGGGGAGCCGCAUGCCCUUCACUGGGCGUGUCGGGGAACCAGGACUUUUACUUUGAAAAAAUUAGAGUGUUCAAAGCAGGCCUUUGCUCGAAUACAUUAGCA